AUUGAACGCUGGCGGCAGGCUUAACACAUGCAAGUCGAACGAGCGGCGGACGGGUGAGUAAUGUCUGGGAAACUGCCUGAUGGAGGGGGAUAACUACUGGAAACGGUAGCUAAUACCGCAUACCAUCAGAUGUGCCCAGAUGGGAUUAGCAAGUAGGUGGGGUAAUGGCUCACCUAGGCCACGAUCCCUAGCUGAUCUGAGAGGAUGACCAGCCACACUGGAACUGAGACACGGUCCAGACUCCUCCGUGAGGCAGCAGUGGGGAAUAUUGCACAUGGGGCGCAAGCCUGAUGCAGCCAUGCCGCGUGUGUGAAGAAGGCCUUCGAGUUGUAAAGCACUUUCAGCGAGAAGGCGUUACUCGCAGAAGAAGCACCGGCUAACUCCAUGCCAGCCGCCGCGGUAAUUC
rnacentral:rRNA from 1 species